rnacentral:lncRNA from 1 species
CUGCAUGGCCUCGAUGAACAGGACCAUCUCCGUGACGAGGCUGUCGCAGAAGCUGGUCGUCCCGGCGGAGCCGACGCCGACCGGCACCCUCCGGCUCUCGUGGCUCGACCGCUACCCGACGCAGAGAGCCCUGAUCGAGUCCCUCCACGUGUUCGACCGCAGCGACGGCGACCCCGCGGCAGCGAUUCGCGGCGCCCUGGCCAAGGCCUUGGUCCACUACUACCCCCUCGCCGGCCGGCUCACCGUGUCGGAGCAGGGGGAGCUCCAGGUCGCCUGCAACGAGGCCGGGGUGUGGUUCAUCGAGGCGUCCGCCGACUGCCGCCUGCGGGAGUUGGACUACCUGGAGCACCCGUUGAUGAUAUCCAAGGACGAGCUCCUGCCUCGUCCCCAACCCCAGCUGGAGCAGGCGGAGGAGGAAAGCCUCGUUUUGAUGGUCCAGGUGCCAUUUCUUCUUCCUCAAUCUGAAAUCGAUAUGGAUCCCGCAACAAUUAGAUCUCAAUCGGGCCAAUGAACCCCACCCCCCACCACCCCCAGUGUUCUGAUUCUUCGCAAACCCUUGAUCUCCCUCUCAAAGGAAUGGUUUUGCUGAGCAAUCCGAUCUAUCUGUUCCUGCCCGUUCCUCUUCACUUCUCCCCUAGAUCCUGCAACAGGUAGAUCUUAAUCCUCCAUCACCAAAGAAGCCCUUAAUUGCAAGGAAGGAAUCUGCCCUCCCGUCACAAUCUUCCAUUGAAUCAAAUGACUUCACAAGAAGUAGAUGGACAUUUACCAGCUAAAGCGGAAGAGGAAGACGCUGUUGUUGCUCAAAGUCUUGUGCUUUCUUACCAAUUGCAGCUGACCAACUUCACAUGCGGUGGAUUCGUGGUGGGCUUUCGGUUCAGCCACGCCAUCUCCGACGGGCCAGGAGCAGCUCAGUUC